ACAGGGGCAUUGCCUUAGUAGCGGCGAGUGAAGCGGCAAAAGCUCAAAUUUGAAAUCUGGCACUUUCAGUGUCCGAGUUGUAAUUUGAAGAAGGUAUCUUUGGGUCUGGCUCUUGUCUAUGUUUCUUGGAACAGAACGUCACAGAGGGUGAGAAUCCCGUGCGAUGAGAUGUCCCAGACCUAUGUAAAGUUCCUUCGAAGAGUCGAGUUGUUUGGGAAUGCAGCUCUAAGUGGGUGGUAAAUUCCAUCUAAAGCUAAAUAUUGGCGAGAGACCGAUAGCGAACAAGUACAGUGAUGGAAAGAUGAAAAGAACUUUGAAAAGAGAGUGAAAAAGUACGUGAAAUUGUUGAAAGGGAAGGGCUUGAGAUCAGACUUGGUAUUUUGUAUGUUACUCUCUCGGGGGUGGCCUCUACAGUUUACCGGGCCAGCAUCAGUUUGAGCGGUAGGAUAAGUGCAAAGAAAUGUGGCACUGCUUCGGUAGUGUGUUAUAGUCUUUGUCGAUACUGCCAGCUUAGACUGAGGACUGCGGCUUCGGCCUAGGAUGUUGGCAUAAUGAUCUUAAGUCGCCCGUCUUGAAMMACGGACCAAA
rnacentral:rRNA from 1 species